rnacentral:lncRNA from 7 species
AGGCAUGGGAGAGGGCUUGCUCACCCUAACGCUUCCCAACUGCUGGGGUCUGGGCAGUUGCCUACUGACCCACGUUCAAUGGGCUGGUUUCUGUAGAUCUCAUUCUGAGCCCUUUACCAUUCCUCAGGUGCGGCAGGAGGAGCCUAAACAUAGCCUUGUGUCUGAGCUGACUCCUAAGGGGGGGGCACUGCAGCACCCAGAUCCCCACUGCAUCUUGCUCUGCACAGCAGGGAGCCACAGUCUGGUGAUUAAGCGCAGGCUUGGGCACUGGUUUCCACUGCCAAUUCCAAUAUUGACAUCUUGUGUUAUUAACUGAUACUCACAGACAAAAAGGACAUCGAUGGUUUACCACUUAAGCACACUUAACUCUUAAAAGAGAAGGCUAUUUUCUCAAUGAGUGCUCCUGGCAUUUAACAUUAUCAGCGUUCUGCAGUCUCCUAUUUAGUAGCAUUUCCUUACACGCUGCUUUCUCUUUGCCUCAUCUUUCAUUGUAAUUACACAAGCUUGCAUUAAAAAUAGGGUAUCUGUUUUUAUGGAGGUUCAACAAUUGCAAGCAGGAAUACUCCUGCUAUUCUUCAGUAGAUGUUUUUAGUGAAUAAUUAUUGUUUAUACAGUGUCAUCCCUCACGAUCCCCACCCCCAAAUUUUCUAUGGACUUCUAUAGGAAGCCAUGUUGCUCACCUUGCAGCAGAUUACUUCCGAAGCAUAAUACACUCAAUUAACAGUGCCUGAGACUAUAAAUCUUCAGGCAGAAGCAGACAAAUAACUUGAUAUCCAGUUGAAGUGCAACAGAAAAUGUGACUAGACAUCAGAUUUCAUAGUGCCAGUGCUUCAUGUGAGCGCUACAGGAAUCACAAUGACUAUAAAUGGUCAGAAACUCCAUUUUAGGUUUCAUGCAAGAGAUGGCACUGUUAGCACCAGCAAUUAAUUUAGAACCAGGAGGGGGUGUAUGUAGGAGGGCACAGAUAUAUUUUUAAAGGUAGAUUAUAAGCAUUAAUAUUAGAAGAGGUAUUUUUGUUUCCAUUUUGAUUAACAGAAAUGCAUUAAUUUAACUGAAGAAAAACUCAUACACUUCAUUACAAGCAGAUUGAUAUUUCACUAGGACACAGGAAACAGAAAAUAGAGUCAGCUAGGAAAAGAAACUCAGAAAUCUAAUGCCAAGUAAACCAAAUGUGUUUCCUGUUUAACCCAAAAUUGAUUUUUCUCUCCCCUCCCCCUAAUCAAAACCCCUGAGCGUACACCUGUGCCAGCAUCAGAAGCAGGAAAAGAUGAAGAGCAUAAAUCUGCUAGACAGGGUAUGGCAGUUUUUGUUUGCUCAUCUCUGGGAACGGCCAACUCACCUACCUGCUCGAGAGUGAAUGAUGGAAACAAAGGUUUUUGGAAUGAUGAAGACACCAAGAUCCAGGCAGAAGUACUUGUGAUGGUUGUCAAGAUAAGCUGAGGGUAGCUUCUGCACUGAGGUGCUGGAUCUCCAGCAUUUUCCACUGAUAUACAAACUCUUACCUCUUACUAAAGAACAGGACUAUGGUCUUUCCACUUCCAUGUGCUGAAGUCAGCUGUGGAGGAGAACGCUGCACUUUUCGUGUCAAAGGAACAUUCUUUGCAAGGUACUUUGCUUCUUCAGCAGAUAAAUUCACUAGAGGAUUGGAGAACUGGAAAGCAACAAGGGCUUGAUGCUGUGGCUUAU